rnacentral:rRNA from 1 species
AUAUCAAUAAGCGGAGGAAAAGAAACCAACAGGGAUUGCCUUAGUAACGGCGAGUGAAGCGGCAACAGCUCAAAUUUGAAAGCUGGCCCUUUUAGGGUCCGCAUUGUAAUUUGUAGAGGAAUGAUUCGGCGAGGGCUCCUGCCUAAGUCCCCUGGAACGGGGCGUCAUAGAGGGUGAGAAUCCCGUAUGCGGUAGGUUGCCUUAGCCAUGUGAAUCUCCUUCGACGAGUCGAGUUGUUUGGGAAUG